rnacentral:rRNA from 1 species
GACGAACGCUGGCGGCGUGCUUAACACAUGCAAGUCGAACGGAAAGGCCCCUUUGGGGUUCCUCGAGUGGCUAACGGGUGAGUAACACGUGAGUAACCUGCCCUUGACUUCCGGAUAACUUCAGUAAACUGGGUCUAAUACCGGAUAGGAAUCCUUUCUUCAUGGUUGGGGUUGGAAAGCUUCGUCGGUUUUGGAUGGACUGGCUGCUUAUCAGCUUGUUGGUGGGGUAGUGGCUUACCAAGGCUUUGACGGGUAGCCGGCCUGAGAGGGCGACCGGCCAAAUUGGGACUGAGAUACGGCCCAGAAUCCUACGGGAGGCAGCAGUGGGGAAUAUUGCACAAUGGGCGGAAGCCUGAUGCAGCAACGCCGCGGGCGGGAUGACGGCCUUCGGGUUGUAAACCGCUUUCAGCAGGGGCGAAGCUUGUGGUGACGGUACCUGCAGAAGAAGCACCGGCUAACUACGUG